rnacentral:ncRNA from 1 species
AAUUAAAGACUAUAAACAGGUGUCGAUUAAUUGAGUCGAUGAAAAGGGAAAUGGGUUGAAAUCCCAUGCGGUCCCGCCGCUGUAAAAGAGUAGUCCUUGCAAAUAUGCCACUGGGCAACCGGGAAGGCUGUAAGGAUGAUGAUACUUGAGCCAGAAGACCUGCCUGUUUGUAAACCAUAAA